CACCCUUACAAGGCCUAGAACCUGACAGAGCAUACAAGACAGAAGCCCAAAUAACUAAGAACAGGAAGCUAAAGGUGAGAGGUAGGCCCCAAAGGAUUCUGUGAAAAUGCUUUGUGUUUGUGGAUUUAUCACGCAGAAUGAUAGCUUUGUUUUUAUUCACAAGUUAGACACGCUCUCUAUAUAGAAUCUAUGAAGGGACUUUUCUGAGUUUUUUGAGGCCUGUAGUGAAAAAUAGAAUAUCUCAGGCAGCUCAGGAUGAAUAAUGCAGUCACCAAGAGGGGCAGGGUUGCCACAGGUGGCCAGCAGCAGGGAUGGGCAUUGUGAGCCAUUAGAUGGGUUUGUGGGAAGUGGCAUUGUGAGCCACUGGCCUGACUUUGUUGUUUCCUGGUAACCAGGUGACAUAGGAGGCUUUGUGGGUAACAGGCAUCAGCCAGGGCCAGCAGCCUUCAGUCGGAAGCUGGUAGUGGGAGGAGGAGGAGCUCCGACUACUCUCACAGAAGUGUUUUUGCCCUUGGCGCUUGCUCUGUUGCUUUUCUUUUUCUUUUUUUUUUUUUUUUUCAGUGUGUUGCUUUUUUUCUUUGUGUGUGUGUGUGUGUUGCUUUGUUUUGUUUUUUUCUUUUUUUAAUUGCAUUUUAGGUGUGGGGGUACAUGUGAAGAACAUUCAAGAUUUUUGCAUAGGUACACAUGAUUUCCUGCCUUCCUCCCCAUCACCAGUAUCUGGCAUUUUUCCCAUGCUAUCUCUCCCCAACUCCCCACCCCGCUACCCACUGUCCCUCCCUAUUUCCCCACAACAGACCCCAGUGUGUAGUGCUCCCCUCCCUGUGUCCAUGUGUUCUCAUUGUUCUUUUUUCUGAUUUUGUUUGUUGCUUUUUUUUGAAAGUCCCCUUGUAGGUCACUCAUGGGGAAUUGCCUAGACCCUGGGUCUUGUACCUCGUGCCAGCAGGGAGUGGCGCCGUCUUGUGAAUGUGAGACUCAGUCUGCGGCAGCUGCAGCACCAGCAUCCACCACUGCAGAGCCUGCCGUGUUACAUCCAGGAGUGGCGCAGGUCCAGCAUGUGCAGCCCAUCAAGUCAAAGCGGCGCAAAGCUCCUGUUCAAGACCCAAAGGGGUGCACAAGUCAAAAGCUUCAGGAGGAGAUGUCACCUGACUUAGUAAGAUGCAUUUCUUUGUCUUGAAGAGACAUAUCUUUUCCUGGGGCUUCUAGACUCAGCUGUCAUGAACUCUAGCUACCAGUCACUGGAAUGUGUGACCAACUGAGGCCUGAUUGAUAUGUUAGUCAAAAGAUGGCAUCACUUACAAACUAGUAGUGAGCAUAUUUCUCAGUAGCAACUUGCUAAAUAUUCCAUGAAAACCUACUGCCAUGGUGGCUCACACGUAGAAUCCAGCACUUUGGGACGCUGAGGCAGACAGGGCCAAUAUAAUGAAACCCCAUCUCUCCUAUAAAAACAAACAUUAGCCAGGCAUGGUGGCUGGCACCUGUGGUCACAGCUAGUUGGAAGGCUGAGGCAGGAGAAUUGCUUGAACCCAGGAAGCUGAGGUUGCAGUGAGCUGAGAUCAUGCCACUGCACUCCAGCCUGGGUGACAGAGCAAGAAUCUGUCCAAAACCAAAGACAAAAGCCCACUGCCCUUUCUCCAAGCAUCCUCUGUGCUUUAUUUGUGGGUCAGUGACUUGAUCCCUGUUUGAUACCUGGUUUUCUAACACCACCAAGUGAAUAAAAGACCUGUGCAGUCAGGACCCUCAUGAUGGUUUUUCUUUCCUCUUACUGCAGGAAAACGCUACAAGUGAAUAUCACCACAGUACGUAUUCUUUUUUUUUAACAUAGCUUCAUUGGGAUGUUGUUGACAUGCAACCCAAUUCACCCAUUUAAAGUGGGUGAUUCAGUGUUUUUACUAUAUUUAUAGGCUAUGCAUUUACAUUACAAUUUAAUUUUAAAACCUCUUCAUUCCUCCUCAAACAAACCUCAUUAGUAGACACCCCUCUGUUUUGCCCAACCUUGCACCCCUGGUUCUAAGCAGCCCUAAUGUACUUCUUAUUUCUAUACAGUGCCUUUCUGUAUUAACCGGUUCUUAAGGUGACUGUUUCACAUUGAUGAAGUUGCCCUAGCUAGAAAGCCAAGGCUCUUUAAUUUCUUUCUGCCCCUCUCCUUUUCCUUCAUUCAACACCAGGAGAAUGGUCCAGCAGCAGCUCAGUCCAUGCUUGUGAACCACCCAGCUCCAUCAUUCCAGCCCCUUUAUACACAUAUCCCCCAAGCCUCUUGUGAGAUUUCUCAGCAGCACCAAUGAACUGACUGUCACGUGGUGUUCUCCUAGCUCCUGUUGACAACCCAGAGGAGUGUACACUUGGCAGUGAGGAGGAGGAGGUGGCCUCUGAUACGGUAACAUAUUUGUUUGUCUGGAAAUUUUUUUUUUCUGGGGCUUCUAGACUAUGAAGUGAAUAUGAUUUUUGACUGCCAUCACAAAUUAGGCCUCGGGGGUCUUGGACUCUAGCGACUGGUCAUUGGAGAUUAUGACCAACUGAGGCCUGAUGGAUGAUGUCUGUCAAACUGGGAUUUCACCUACAAACCAUUCGUGAGCACAUUUCUCAGUAGCAGCGUUUUCUUCUUAAAAUAAUUUUGUAUUUCCUAGAGAACAUAGACACCUGCUAAAUUUUCCAAAUGCAUUGCAUUUUCUGCAAGCAUCCUGUAUGCGUCAUCUGGGGCCAGUGACUUGAUCACUGUUCUACAUCUGGUUUAUUUGCUGUUGUUUUGAAACAGAAACUUUUUCUGUCACCUGGCUACAGUGCAGUGGUGUGAUCUUAGAUCACCUGCAGGUAAUGGGUUCAAGCAAUUCUCCUGCCUCAGUCUCCUGAGUAGCUGGUACUACAGACUCAUGCCACCACCAUGCUGGGUUUCUUGUAGUUUUUAGUAGAGUCAGGAUUUCACCAUGUUGGCCAGGAUGGUCUCAAUCUCUUGACCUCAUGAUCUGCCCUCAUUGGCCUCCCAACAUGCUGGGAUUACAUGUGUGAGCCACAGCGCCCGGCCUGCCAUCUGGUUUUCUAGUGUCACCAAGUGAAUACAAGACCUGUGCCAACAGGACCCAGCCUCAUGGUGUUUUCGUCUUAUUGCAGGAGAAGCCUGCGACCCUCUUUCACCGCCGUACGUAUUCUGUUUCUUUUAAACAGUUACUGAAAUGUAGUUGACAUCCAAACCAAUUCACCCAUUUAAAGUAGGUGAUUCAGUGUUUUGACUGUAUUGACAGGGUAGUGCAACCAUUGUUAGAAUCUAAUUUUAGAAGCUCUUGGUUCCCUCUCAGAACACCCCCUCAGUAGUGACUCCUCUGUUUUCCCCAACGCCCCACACCCCUGGUUCUAGGCAGCCCUAAUCUACCUCCUGUUUGUAUAGUACACUGCCUUUCUGUAUGAUCUGGUUCUUCAAAUGACGAUUUCACAUUGAUGAGGUUGCCCUAGCUAGGAAGCCAAGGCGCUUUCAUUCCUUUCUGCCCCUCUGCUAUUUCUUCCCUUGGCACCAAGGAGAAUGGUCCAGCAGCAGCUCGGUCCAUGCUUGUCAAACGCCCAGCUCCACACACUCCAGCCCGGUCCACAUUUCCCAAAGCUCCUUGUGAGAUUCCUCAGCAGCACCAAUGUGCUGACUGUCACUCUGUGUUCCCUUAGGUCCUGUUGAGAUACUACAGGACCUCAUAAUAGAAGACAUCGAAGAUUCCGAGAUGCCCCCUGAUGUGGUAAGAUGCAUUUCUUUGUCUCGAAGAGAAAUGUUUUUUCUGGGGCCUCUGGAAUAUCAAGUGAAUACCAUUUUUGACUGCCAUUGUGAAUCAGACCUCAGUUGUCAUGGACUCUAGCGACCAGUCAGUGGAGUUUCUGACCAACCGAGGCCUGAUUGACGUGACGAUGUCAGUCAAAAGAUGGCAUAACUUACAAUCUGGUCAUGGGCAUAUUUCUCAGUAGCAACAUUUUCUUCUUGAAGAAUAAUUUUGUAUUUCCCAGCCAGCAUAGACACUUGCUAAAUAUUCCAAACCCACUGCCUUUUCUGCAAGCAUCCCCUGUGCUCCAUUUGGGGCCCGUGACUUCAUAACUGUUUGACAUCUGGUUUAUAUUUUAGUUUAGUUUCGUUUUUGAGACAGAGUCUCUCUGUCUCCAGGCUACAGUGCAGUGGUGUGAUCUCAGAUCACUGCAGCGUCCACCUACUGCGUUCAAGCAUUUCUCCUGCCUCGGCCUCUGGAGUAGCUGGGACUGCAGGCUCUCACCACCACCACACCCAUCUUUUUUGUAGUUAUUAAUAGAGAUAUGGGGUUUCACCAUGUUGUCCAGGAUAGUCUUGAUCUCUUGCCCUGAUGAUCUGCCUGUCUCGGCCUCCACGCAUGCUGGGAUUACAUGCGUGAGCCACCGCGCCCG
ensembl:lncRNA